GGAGCUUCUUGGCCUUUUGGCUAAGAUCAAGUGUGGUAUCAGUUCUUAUCAGUUUAAUAUCAGAUACUUAUUUUUUUCUUUUUGUGGUUGGACUGGCA
rnacentral:snRNA from 1 species